CUGGUAUUUUGAAGUAAUUGGCGAUAACCCCCACAGAGGUCGGUCAUAGGAAUAAAGUGAAGUCUUCUUUUGUUUUGUUCUCAUUCAGCGUCAUGAAGUUUCUGUGUCUGUUGUUGAUGGUAUGUGUUCUCGAAGAACGUGUCAACGGUGAUAUUCAGUAUAAAAUGAAUGUAAACCUUGAUUUAGACAGUGGUGACUGUGAUGGAGCCUUGCAAAUCAUCAGUGGGAUCACAGUACCCUCGCCUGCUGGAUGUGUAUGCGAUUGGCAGUCUUGUACUGUGGGACAAGGAAGUUGUCCGCCUUGCUGUCAACUUUGUGGCACCUGUUAGGAACAGACAUUGAAGUGAAUAUAUCUGCGUAUCAGGGUAUUUGGUGUCGUCAAUGUACAUAAUCGAUCAUGGAUAAUCAGAGUCUAGUAGCAAUUAUAGUAAAAUUAUAUAUUGAAUAAAGUAAAGAGGGGAAGUGGUUGUGGUUGAAAAUAUGAUAC